rnacentral:lncRNA from 10 species
GCCUUUGAAGGGCUUGGUGGUUGAGGCCUUGCUCUCUCUGCCUUAGUUCAAAGCCUCGUCGUCAGGGCCUGUGGACAUCCCAGGCUGGGCCGGAGCCCGCAUAGCACAUUGUGGAUGACCAUUUCCAAUUUUCCUCAUCCUUCUGGCUUGGAAUUGCCAUGGUUUUCCUGAAGCCCAGCAAGCUGAAGCCAGACUACUUGAUAGAAGCUUCAGAGAAGCCACCUCAACAGCUCAUGCAUGGAAAACCUUUGUGACCUCCAAGCUGCAAACCAGGAAGAGCUGUCACUUGCCGCUGCCUGCUCCAGCUGAAGGGUCUUCAGGCCUAGCAUCUAGAAAUCUUCUUGACCGGCUGACUGCCUUCUGGACUCAGAAAGGCUUCUAUUCCUGUGUGGCUGGAAACUGGGGAAACCUGGCCUCUGGACGGCUCACAUUCACCCUCCCUUCCUUCCUUCCUGCCUCUCUCUCUCCUACCCUCCCCUCCUCCCUUCCUGCCCCUCUCUCUCCUACCCUCCCCUCCUCCCUUCCUCCUCCCUGUUUCUUCCUCUCUCCCCUCCCCCUCCAUUCUUCUCUCCCUCCCUCCCCUUUCUCUUCUCGCCCCUCCCCUGGCUUCCCCACCUCUUCCAGCCUUGCUCUGGCCGAGGUUAUGGAGAUACAUAAAUAACACUUGAGCCUUGAUCACCACCUGGAGUUGGAGCAGACACAGCAGGACACACUCAUGAUAAGAAGCUAUAAGUGCUAGGAUGGUGUUUCCCUGGCUGCUGCAAGGGCUCAAAGUGGGAAGGACCACAUGUAGCUGAGAUGGGGUCAGAGGUGCCCUGAGCUGAGCUAAGUCUGCAUGUGCAUGCCUGUCUGCAGGGGGAGCAGGGCAUGCCUAAGGCAUGGGGUUGGGGCAAUAGGAGGUUCCAGUCAAGGAGGAUAUGGGAUGAGGCUGGGGAGUGUGGCAGGAGAAUAAAUCUUGGAACCCCCAAAUCACUAGCUAAAGAGAAAAAUCAAGCUGGGAACUGCUUAGGGAAAACCUGAUUCCCAUUCUAUUCAAAGUCAUCCCACUGCUCACUGAGAUAGACGCAUAUCUGAUUGCCUCCUUUGGAAAGGCUAAUCAGAAACUCAAAAGAAUGCUGCUUGUCUUUUAUCUACCUACAACCUGGAAGCCCUCUCUGCCUUUCCAAUGGAACCAAAGUUCCUCUUACAUAUGUUGAUCGAUGUCUCAUGUCUCCCUAAAAUGUAUAAAACCAAGCUGAGCCCUGCCCACGUUGGGCACCUGUCGGCAGGACCUCCUGAGGCCAUGUUACAGGCGUGUGUCCUUAACCUUGGCAAAAUAAAUUUUCUAAAUUGACUGAGACCUGUCUCAGGUAUUUGAGGUUCACAGGAGUGUGGCAGAUUCCAGCUCCCAGAGAGGGAAACAGAGCCUCUCAGGAGCAGUACCAUUUAAUCCUUCACCACCUGAGAGGAGAUGAGAGCUGUUAUUCCCAUUUUAAAGAUGAAGAAACUGAGCCUAGCAGAGACUGAGAAAAAGCAAUCACACAACUAGGGAAUGGCAGCAUAACAACAAAAAUCCAGGUAAGAUUUUCCCCUCAAACCCAUGGGCCGCGUGGGAAUGGAAUUUCCAUGGUCCUGCCUCCCAUUCUCAGUAAAUGUCCGCUGGAGAGUUGGGGUGAGCAGACGAAUGCACCCUCCACUGCCCAGAGCAAGAUCGCCAAGCCCCGCGGCCUCCUGAGCCCACCUGUCAGGGCCUGCGGUGCACAGCCCGGAUGCAGCUCCCCGGUCUCCCCUGGUCUCCAGCGAGC